rnacentral:rRNA from 1 species
UUGAACGGAUGGAGAUCAAAGCCGGGGAUCGUAAGACCUGGCGCUUGAUGAGGGGCCCGCGUCUGAUUAGCUAGUUGGUGAGGUAACGGCCCACCAAGGCGACGAUCAGUAUCCGGCCUGAGAGGGCGGACGGACACACUGGGACUGAGACACGGCCCAGACUCCUACGGGAGGCAGCAGUGGGGAAUUGUUCACAAUGGGCGCAAGCCUGAUGACGCAACGCCGCGUGGAGGAUGAAGGUCUUCGGAUUGUAAACUCCUGUUGCUCGGGACGAAAAGCCUCGACCUAAUACGUCGAGGUCUGACGGUACCGAGUGAGGAAGCCCCGGCUAACUCUGUGCCAGCAGCCGCGGUAAUACAGAGGGGGCAAGCGUUGUUCGGAAUUACUGGGCGUAAAGGGCGCGUAGGCGGCCCGCUAAGUCGAACGUGAAAUCCCCGAGCUCAACUCGGGAACUGCGUCCGAUACUGGCGGGCUUGAAU